UACGAAGGGGGCUAGCGUUGUUCGGAAUUACUGGGCGUAAAGCGCACGUAGGCGGACAUUUUAAGUCAGGGGUGAAAUCCCGGGGCUCAACCCCGGAACUGCCUUUGAUACUGGGUGUCUUGAGUGUGGUAGAGGUGAGUGGAAUUGCGAGUGUAGAGGUGAAAUUCGUAGAUAUUCGCAGGAACACCAGUGGCGAAGGCGGCUCACUGGACCACAACUGACGCUGAGGCGCGAAAGCUAGGGGAGCAAACAGG
rnacentral:rRNA from 1 species